AAAGCGGUAUCGUAAGUCCUGGUGACCCUGGACCUUCGUAGAAGGUUCCUAGCUUCCGGUGCAACCCCGGAGGGACAGACUGAAAUCGGGGCCCAGGGUGAGCCGCUUU
rnacentral:ncRNA from 1 species